CACGUAGGGUGCAAGCGUUGUCCGGAAUUAUUGGGCGUAAAGGGCUCGUAGGCGGUCCGUCGCGUCGGGAGUGAAAACUCGGGCUCAACCCCGAGCCUGCUUUCGAUACGGGCGGACUAGAGGUAGGUAGGGGAGAACGGAAUUCCUGGUGUAGCGGUGGAAUGCGCAGAUAUCAGGAGGAACACCGGUGGCGAAGGCGGUUCUCUGGGCCUUACCUGACGCUGAGGAGCGAAAGCGUGGGAGCGAACAGG
rnacentral:rRNA from 1 species